AGACACUGCCUACUCCAGCUUCCGGAUAUAAUGGACUGCCUUUCCGCUGCACACAGGGUUCCACUUUGUUCUGAGCCCCUGUCCCUCUGUCUCUGUUUUCUUCUGUCUUUCUUCUUUCUUGCCUGUUAAACUUUUUACUUCUUAACGACCACUCCACAUGUGUCUGUGUCAUUACUCCUAAUGGCACAAAACUAAGGACUCUGGUGUUCCUGCAGUCAUGGAAGCUGCAUCACUAUUAGAAGUUGAUAUGGGAAAUGAAGUACCUCUGACUCCUUGAAAUAAAUUACAACCCUAGAGACUUUAGAAGACUGUCUAGGUUCCAGUUUUGUUAACCAGAAAAUAAGAAUGGCUUUGCCCACUAAUCAACAUCUCUUGACAAGGAGAACUGCUGGCUGAAAAUAUGAGAAGCCAGCACAUCCUGAAAGAAAUACCCUAGAUCCGCUUAACUGGAAAGGAAGCAGCUGGAAACCUAAACAGUGAUGCCACUCUGUGCUGAUACACCUGACCCUCCACCAGUGAACUGGCCCAUCUGGGGAAAUGCAAAAUGGGAGAAACUCUGAUUUCAUUUGUCCAUCUCCAGAUGAAGAUGAGUUUCAAGAGGAGACUCACUAUUCUAAGCUAACCAUUUUAAGUCCGUUCUCAUUUUGUGACAAUAAUUUAGGAGCACCAUAAAUAUAAACCACCUCUAGCCAAUGAGACAUAAGCAAGAUCAUCUGAAAUGAACUUCUGGAAAAUUUUCCUCAAUCUCAGAAGGAGAUUUAUUCCCUCCCCCUCACCAGAAUUUCCAAGGGUUUAUACCUUAAUGAAACUGUCACAAGUCCCCAAGGGGAGCCAACUGCUACUUCUAAUGGGGAGGAAUGCUUGCAUCUAUAGGUUCCACUAGGUGCCUGCUGUGUGUCAAAUAUUUUCCUAUGCAUUUCACAUGCAUUUUUAGCACUUAACCUCCAUAUCCUCAGGACUAUCUCUAGAAACAUAGAUGCUUAAGAAAAUUAUCUUUUACACAGAGCUUGCUAAACAGAGGGUGGAAAUCAGACAGCUUGAACUUAAGAAUAGAGUAAAAAUGGAUAUUAAGAUACUUGAAAUAUUGAUUAGGAAUAUGUAUUGUGUCAAAUUCUGGGGUAAAAGAGAAACAUAAAUUGAAAUUUUCAACUUUUUUUCUGUUUUUAAAACUUGAAUUAAUAAUCUGGGGUAGUAAGUUUCUUUGUUGCUGUUAAAAAAUAAAAAGAAACUAUAAGAGCACCUUUCAGUUGUACUCACAUGAAGCAAAGAUUCUCUGUAGUCCAGAGAAUUUUUGGAAUAGCUUCGAGAAGCUGCACAAAUCAAAACUGCUUUGAGGUCUUCACUACUUACAUAAAGGGGAGACACAUUUACCUUUAAUAGAAAUGGGCUUUGUGGAGAGGAAAACGAUGGAGAGAAAAUUGUCAGUUGAGCAUUAUUCACCCCUCUUGAACUCCCAGACUGAUUUUGAGCCUCUAUUUUCAUUUUGAUGUCUGCAGUCAAAAUCUAGGGAGUUUUCCAAAAUCCCUAAUAAAAUAUCGAAUAUUUGACAUCAUUACUUCCCCAAGGGUAAGAAAUAUUUUCAAUAUUUGACAUUGUGCGGUUAAACAUAUUGCUGCCUUAUGUAGAAAAGUGGGUUGAAUACUUCUCUCAUUGUUUUAGAAUUAUUUCCCCUUCUUCCAUUUGCUAUAUUUGAUCUCCAUAAUUCUGGUAUGUGUUUGGCCAUAGACUAGUGAUCAUACCACCCAGGUCUUUUGUAACAUUCAUUCCUUCAGAACUUAACAAUGGGAAAUAACACAGGUGUCAAUUGGACAGAGAGAUUUGAGGGAAACUCUCAAAUUAGAGUGAAGGUUGCAAUCUGUCUACUGUGAAGAAGCCUCAUUCUUUCUGCUCCCGUAUCAUAACACAGAGGCCUAUGUGAAGUACAUAGACUAAAAUUAGUUCAAUCUAAAGGGAUUUAUUUUUACCAAUAAAAUUGUGUUUCUUCAAAAUGCAUAACAUUGAUACAGAUUUGAGAUGCUGCCAGGUCCACCUCUCAUUAGUUUUUUUUUUGUUACUUGCAAUGAUAGAAUCCCCUUAUGUAUUGGCAGAGUGUUGUGCCAAGGCAUCUUUCUAGUUUACUUCAGGAACCUCAAGGAGUAACAAACAGUGAAGAAAAAAUAUUGAUAUUAGGAGAAUAAAGACCAGAAACUUUUU